AGAAAUUAGAGUUUAAAGGAUAAUGAAUAUUUUUAAGAUUUUUAGCAAUGUGUAGAUUGGAUUGAAAAGAAUUUUUUUUGUAUAGAAACUAGACUUGAUUUCUAAUAAUUUAAGGGAAUUUUAGAGAAAUUCAAUAGUUCAAAAAGGAGAUAUUAGCAUUGGAAGUUCAAUAUUUAGAUUGGAGUAGGAGGCUAGCCAAUAUCUAAGCAAAUUUUAGGAUUUUUUUAUUUUUUAUUUGAUAAGUGAAAUUAUCUUCAAAUUUUUUAUUCUUAUUUUUAACUAAGAGAUUAAGAGAUGUAUAAAUUUUUGAGCAAAUCCAAUACUUUAAUCAGUAGAUAUUGGGAUUCUAAUCUACAUUAGGAUUGAUUUGAGUUGGUUAGUAUUUGGUUAGGGUUUGAUUUAGGAUUUAGGAUUUGAAGUUUUUCUAGGAUUUGGUUUAGGAUUUAGGAUUUGUUUAAGAAUUAGGAUUUAUCUAAUAUUUGAUUUAGGAUUUAGGAUUUAGGAUUUGUUUAGGAUUUGGUUUAAGAGUUAGAGUUUAGUUAUGAUUUGACCUAAGGUUUAGCUAAAGUCCAUUAAAAUUUUAAUUAGGAUUCAAAUAAGAUUUUAUUAAGAUUUAUUUAAGAUUUAUUUAAGAUUUAUUUAAGAUUUAUUUAAGGUUUUUUUUAAUAUUUUUUAAAGAUUUCUUCAUGUUUCUUUUGUAAUUUCUUAAAUAUUUCUUUUGGAUUUGAUUAAAGCUUGAUUAACAUUAUUGAGAUUUAAUUGGAAUUUAUUUAGAAUUCUAUUACAGUUUUUAGCAUCUUAUUAUUAUAAUUUUUGUUUUAUCUUCCAAAGCCAAGAGCUUAAUACAUUCUUAAGCAAGACUUCAUGUAAUAUGAUAGUGUUAAAUGAGAAAG
rnacentral:lncRNA from 1 species